rnacentral:rRNA from 1 species
AUUGAACGCUGGCGGCAUGCUUUACACAUGCAAGUCGAACGGCAGCGCGGGCUUCGGCCUGGCGGCGAGUGGCGAACGGGUGAGUAAUACAUCGGAACGUGCCCAGCAGUGGGGGAUAGCUCGGCGAAAGCCGGAUUAAUAACGCAUACGACCUGAGGGUGAAAGCGGGGGAUCUUCGGACAUCGCGCUAUGGGAGCGGCCGACGGCAGAUUAGCUAGUUGGUGGGGUAAAGGCCUACCAAGGCGACGAUCUGUAGCUGGUCUGAGAGGACGGCCAGCCACACUGGGACUGGGACGCGGCCCAGACUCCUACGGGAGGCAGCAGUGGGGAAUUUUGGACAAUGGGCGAAAGCCUGAUCCAGCAAUGCCGCGUGUGUGAUGAAGGCCUUCGGGUUGUAAAGCACUUUUGGCGGGAACGAAAAGGACUGUGCCAAUACCACGGUUCGAUGACGGUACCCGCAGAAUAAGCACCGGCUAACUACGUG